rnacentral:tRNA from 1 species
GCCGACAGACCGGCUCAGUGGUACCUGCCUGCCGGCAGGCAGGGAGCGCGGGACUCAUAAGCCCAAGGUCAGUGGUUCGAUCCCACUCGCCGGCA